rnacentral:lncRNA from 1 species
UGCUGCGGCGCCGCCGCCGGCGGCUGCUGUUGAGGAUGAUGCCCUCCAGGUCCAUCCAUUUGCCUAGGAACCAAGAAAUCUUAAUAACUGUUUUGGUGAUUGGGGCCAGCAGAAACCUUCUUCCUGACCUUCUUCUAAGUGACAGUUCCUGCUUCCAGCUUCCUGCCAGGACUUCCUUUAAUGAUGGACUGUAACCUGAAGCUCAAACCCCAAAUGACAUUCCUGCUCUGUUGCUUGUACCCUGGACUGCUCACCGCCUGAGCCUACCUGCCCUUGUGGGGUUGGAGGUGAGGUGUCACAAAGUCAUCAACACAGACUCUGGAAGCAGAGAAGACUCCUGGAAGGAACUGCCCAGCUGAGGACUACACCUUCUUUUUGUUUUGGUACAGAGAGAGACCAGCUGACUGGUUUUCAGAAUGAAAAGAGUCUAGCUGGCAGCCCAAAGAGGUGACUGAGAACUGGCUGUGUAAGAACAGCAGAGCUUCCUGGGAGAAACAGGCUUCAUUUUUCCUGCUUUAAAAAAAAAUAUGCGAGAACUCCAAUGUUCUGGCAAAAUUAAGGAAACCUGCAAUCGGUUGCUUGGGAAAAAGAAACCCAGCAAACCUGUCUGUAGUAAAUUACAUAUGGGGACAAAGCCCCACUGCCUCCCGAGGCUGCCUCCCUCCCUGCUGCCAUCCUUAAGGUAAUGUCUUCAGACUGCACAAGCUGCAUUUCAGAGACCUGCAGUCCAAACUUGACACCUAAGAACUGUGUCCCUUUAAGUAAGUCUCAUGGCUUUUUGUCUGAGUUUCAUGAUAUUAUUUGUAACAUGACAUUAAAUCUGUUUCUUCAUAGUGAUAUGAGAAAUAAACACACUUUCAUCAGC